ensembl:lncRNA
AGACUGCGGGUCAAGUUCAGGCUUGGGAAAAGUGGCUGUGACUCUAUUGAACUACUUCUAGAUUAUUCAUAACAUCAAGGCAAUAUGUCAACUACUCAAUAAUGUAUCCUACUCCAACCUUCAAUUAACCUUUUUAUUCUUAAGCAUUUAGCUUGAUGUCCCACAGUACAAGACUGACUAAUGUGGCACAGAACAUAGAAGAGACAUAAAUCUUUCUGCAAGUCAGUCACUUUAAUACCUUUUGUUUGUGCUCUGUUUUCAUUCAGGCACUUCUAGCAUUGCCAUGAGUUUUCAAAGACUUCCAAGCUGAAGUGUGGACAUAACAGCACUAAAACACAGAAGAUCUAUCCAGAAAAAGAGGCCAGAGUGCCAAAGAAAAGAAGAAAUGGGAACAGAAGUAACACCAUUUAUCUCUGUUGCUACCAGUUUCCAAACAGAGGCAUGGCUCUAUUUGAACACGAAUAGGAUCACAUCAUAGAUGGGUCAGAGACUGCUUCUAUCAUCCACUGCAAGAGAAGAGAGGAGAUCCCAGGAGCAGAAUAGAUGAUUCUUGAAACUGAGGCUAACAAAAACUAUAAAUCUGUACAGAGCAUAAAUCUCAGAGGGAGAUACAAAGAGGGCAAGUUGAUCACAGGAGAUCAGGACGCUUGUUUAAGGUUAUGUUAUUGAAGUAGUAAAUAAAAUCUGUUAUCUGAUGGUCGUACAAGUAGUGCAAGUGAAACCAAUCAGAUGCCUCACACAACACACUCAUAAACAUUUAUAGCCAACAAACUGUGCCUUUUGUGAACAAGACUGAGUGUUUCUCACCAUGAAAAAGGAUGUUUUCCAGAAAAUAUCUACAAUGUGGCAACACUUUGUUGUUCAUAUUAUGCCCAAUCAUCAGAAAAAUACUGUUAGCAGAUGCUUGAUUCUGUACAAUGAACCUUUUAUUCGUUACAGGCUUCUCUGAAGAUGCUCUAAGAAAAGUAUAAGUGACUGGGAUCUGGUCGGUAUUUCAUGUUCCUCUUCCACCCUUGCAGCAGCUCAAGCUCUCUUUCUGAACUUCAAGGAUUGGUCCUUCAACACAGUAACCCCAAAUUUUCCUAUACUCAUACACACUUCUUUUAGCCUGCCAUGUGAACGAGUCUCAGCCCUUCUGUCUUGACCAGAGCAGUGCAUGUGCUCACUGGAAGGUAUGCAUGGUAUACAAGAUGACUGGCCAGUCUGCUGCUGGCAAGCAGAUUGGAUUGUACCUAAGCUUUAAAUACAGCUUCUCUCUUCUAUACAGUUUUCUAUAGUCAUAAACCUUGUAGGAUCUUAAUAACUUUGAGACCUUUGCACCUCUGUGAAAUCUGAUGGAAUUUUGUCAGAAGUUUUAAAAACACUUAAAGGACACUGACUGUGAGUUAGCUACAUCUUUUUCUUACAUCAGAAUGCAUACUGAAGAUCCUCAGCCCUUUGGUUGCUGCUCCUAGCUAAUCUUGGCUGUUUUCUUCACAUGUCAAUCUCGUGCUAUGCCAUUAAGAUGGUCCUUCCAAACUCAGCAGUCCAAAACUGCCAGGAACACAAGAGAGGGAUGUCCAAGAUGCUGUGAUAGGCUUCCAUGAGGGGUCUAAAAUAAAAAAAAAUGGUUAUGAAAACAUGAUUCUGGAUCCGCUAUCUGCAUUAUUUAUCCUUGGAAUGAUUACAGUUCUAAAGCCAACAACAUCAUGAAACCAGUCUGCCAUUUUCCCAUGUCACACCACCACAUGCUUCUUUCACUGGGAGAACAUACUUUGUGUUGUAAGAGAGGAUGGCAAAGUGCCCCCUCUGAAGAUCAUACACUUUCUUCCAAAGUAGAACAUAUUCUAGAUAGACAGUAAAGUGUGGGAGACUGACAGAAGUCUUUGUAAUGCUCCUAAUGACAGCGAAACUGGAAGGCUUUUCUAGCUAUUUAACUGUAUAUCAGUGAAAUUGAUAUUGAUGACAAUAAGGUAUGGGAAUAACAACAUUUGAAUUUGUUAUUUGUCACAUUCAUAUAGUAAGGGUGUCACUGAAUUCCUCCAUGCAGAAAAAAUGUCACCCAUUGACAUCUGACACUUGCUGAACGUUCAAGGAGACCAAUCAGUGGAUGUGAGCACAGUGAGGUGGUGAGUGGUGUGUUUCAGCAGUGGUGAGAGUGACAGUGGUUCAUGUCUGAUGGUACAGAUUUUCACAACCACUCAUGUAGGCUCUUGUUCAUCUCUGACAAAAAUGCACAGCUAAUGGUGUUCCAAAACAGUAUUUUGUAGCUGAGAAUUUGCUCUAUCAAAUAAUGCCAUUGUGCUCUUUGUAACUGUUGUUGUUUCCAUGAAAUAAAUAGGAGGCAUUACUUUUGAAGC